UGAUAAGUCAAAAAACAAUGCAAAAAUGUGGGGUCGGGAACAGCCCAUGACGGAACAUGAUGCUGAGGUUGUGACGAGCCUGCCUUAGUCUAAGAGCAGCCUGCUCAUAUGGCACAUUCAGUGGAUGAAAGUAGAAAGUGAAUGUUUAUUCAAGAUAAAACAGAGAUUGUGCUUGGGAAGAAGAGGGAGGGAUUGUCCCCAACAGUGGAACCAGAAGAUGGAGUCACUUUUUAUUCCUGUUAACAGAAGAACAUUGCCAUCUGCUGGACAUCAGAGAUUUCCAGCUAAUCCAUUAUCG